rnacentral:miRNA from 8 species
GCUACAACACGGGACCCGGGC